rnacentral:rRNA from 1 species
UACGUAGGGACCAAGCGUUGUUCGGAUUUACUGGGCGUAAAGGGCGCGUAGGCGGCAAUUCAAGUCACUUGUGAAAUCUCUGAGCUUAACUCAGAACGGUCAAGUGAUACUGCUUUGCUAGAGUGCAGAAGGGGCAACCGGAAUUCUUGGUGUAGCGGUGAAAUGCGUAGAUAUCAAGAGGAACACCGGAGGUGAAGACGGGUUGCUGGGCUGACACUGACGCUGAGGCGCGAAAGCCAGGGGAGCGAACGGG